rfam:Schistosoma curassoni strain Dakar, Senegal genome assembly, scaffold: SCTD_contig0000062
AUCCGGCUGACGAGCCCCAAAUAGGAUGAGACGCGCGUCUUGGAU